GUAUCAUGGCUCAGGAUGAACGCUAGCUACAGGCUUAACACAUGCAAGUCGAGGGGCAGCAUGGUCUUAGCUUGCUAAGACUGACGGCGACCGGCGCACGGGUGAGUAACACAUAUCCAACCUGCCGUCGUACUCUUGGACAGCCUUCUGAAAGGAAGAUUAAUACAAGAUGGCAUCAUGAGUCCGCAUGUUCACAUGAUUAAAGGUAUUCCGGUAGACGAUGGGG
rnacentral:rRNA from 1 species